CCUACGGGUGGCAGCAGUGAGGAAUAUUGGUCAAUGGACGCAAGUCUGAACCAGCCAUGCCGCGUGCAGGAAGACGGCUCUAUGAGUUGUAAACUUCUUUUGUACGAGGGCAAACGCAGACACGCGUAUCUGUCUGAAAGUACUGUACGAAUAAGGAUCGGCUAACUCCGUGCCAGCAGCCGCGGUAAUACGGAGGAUUCAAGCGUUAUCCGGAUUUAUUGGGUUUAAAGGGUGCGUAGGCGGCCCGUUAAGUUAGGGGUGAAAUCCCGGGGCUCAACUGCGGCAUUGCCUCUGAUACUGUUCGGCUUGAGAGUAGGUGAGGUAGGCGGAAUGUAUGGUGUAGCGGUGAAAUGCUUAGAGAUCAUGCAGAACACCGAGUGCGAAGGCAGCAUACC
rnacentral:rRNA from 1 species